rnacentral:rRNA from 1 species
CCUACGGGCGGCAGCAGUGAGGAAUAUUGGUCAAUGGACGAGAGCCUGAUCCAGCAAAGCAGCGUGAAGGAUGACUGCCCUAUGGGUUGUAAACUUCUUUUAUAUGGGAAUAAAAUGUUACACGUGUGUGAUUUUGUAUGUACCAUAUGAAUAAGGAUCGGCUAACGCCGUGCCAGCAGCCGCGGUAAUACGGAGGCUCCGAGCGUUAUCCGGAUUUAUUGGGUUUAACGGUAGCGUAGGUGGAUUGUUAAGUCAGUUGUGAAAGGUUGCGGCUCAACCGUAAAAUUGCAGUUGAAACUGGCAGUCUAGAGGACAGUAGAGGUGGGCGGAAUUCGUGGUGUAGCAGUGAAAUGCUUAGAUAUCACGAAGAACUCCGAUUGCGAAGGCAGCUCACUGGACUGCAACUGACACUGAGGCUCGAAAGUGUGGGUAUCAAACAGGAUUAGAUACCCCUGUAGUC